GCAACAUGUCCCAGUAAUGAAACGUGAUUGAACAAGAUACAUUCCCUUUUGCUCCACCUUUUUUCAGUUCAGAGAAAAAACUAUCCAUACAAAUUAAAAAUUGUGUCCAUCUACUUCUUUGAAGAUUGAUUGACAAUGAAACAUUUUCCAUAGAAGCCUGCAAACUCUAUAUACUACAUAUCCUUGGUAAAGUGUACUUGCAGCGUGUGGGCAUUAUUC